rnacentral:rRNA from 1 species
AGUGAACGCUGGCGGUAGGCCUAACACAUGCAAGUCGAACGGAAGCACAGUAAGAGCUUGCCCUUACGGGUGGCGAGUGGCGGACGGGUGAGGAAUACAUCGGCAUCUACUUUUUCGGGGGGGAUAACGGGGGGACGCUGACGCUAACACCGAAUACGACCUACGGCAGAAAGCAGGGGUGCUUGGGGCUUUGGGCGACUGAAUGAGCCGGUGCUGGAUUAGCUAGUUGGCGGGGUAAAGGCACACCAAGGCAACGAUCCGUAGCAGAUCUGAGAGGAUGAUCGGCCACACUGGAACUGAGACACGGUCCAGACUCCUACGGGAGGCAGCAGUGGGGAAUAUUGGACAAUGGGCGCAAGCCUGACCCAGCGAUACCGCGUGGGUGAUGAAGGCCUUCGGGUUGUAAAGCUCUUUUAUUAGGAAAGAAAAGCUGCAGGUUAAUACGCCGCUAUUCUGACGGUACCCAAACAGAAAGCACCGGCUAACUUCGUG